rnacentral:misc_RNA from 1 species
UAGGGUAGACAGGGCUCAGAC